rnacentral:rRNA from 1 species
CUCGUAGUUGGAUUUCUGUUGAGGUCGGGCGGUGUACGCUUCGCGUAUUAUUUGCUUCGGUCUCCGCAUCCUCUUGGGGAACGCUCGGGACUUUAUUGGACCGGCGGAAUUCAAGACUUUUACUUUGAGGAAAUUAAAGUGUUCACGGCAGGCAAGUGCUUUGAAUACAUUAGCAUGGAAUAAUAAUAUAGGACCUUCGUUCUAUUUUGCUGGUUUCUAGAACUUAGGUAAUGAUUAAUAGGGACAAUUGGGGGCAUUCGUAUCAACGCGUCAGAGGUGGAAUUCUUGGAUUGCGUUACUACGAACUACUGCGAAAGCUUUUGCCAAAGAUGUUUUCAUUGAUCAAGAACCAAAGUAUGGGGAUCGAAGACGCUUAGAUACCAUCGUAGUCUAUACCAUAAACUAUGCCAACUAAGGACCGACGGGGUUAUCCCAUGUGGCUCCUUCGGCACUUUAUGAUAAACCAACUUUUUGGGUUCCGGAGGGAUUAUGGUGCCAAAGUUGAAACUCAAAGUUACAGACAAACAGAAACGACCAGGAGUGCAACCAGCAGUUCAAAUUGACUCCGCAUGUUGAAAACUUCACCAGGUCCCAGACAUAGUAAGGGAUUGAUAGAUUGAA